CCGUUUCCUCGAGCUAAGUUUAGAAUAAUUUUGAACUUAGAUUUAAGAUGAUUCACGCCGGAUUGAGAAAAAGAAUUUAUUUAAUUCCAACAAAAUGAUUUACAAAAAACGUUUGUAAAUAUUUUAGCUAUUUAAAUUUUUGUGCAUUGCAUAUUAAUUUAAAUAUGAGCAUGUGUAUAUGUGAAAUAUUUUUCACAUAAUUAAUAUUUUUUUUUACAAGAUUUAAAUUAAAGUCUAUGAUUGGAUUUUAAUUAUUUUAUGUGUUGGGCUUUGAUUUUUAUAUUGGACCCCUUAAGUUAAGUAUUUGAUUAACCAAAUGAAACCCUCCCUCACGCAGCUCUCUCUCUUCUCUCUUCUCUCCCUCAUUACUUCAUUCUUCUUCACCAUCAAUGAAGCACACAUGCAAGCAUUAAACACUAACCUAAGUAGCCAACCUUUCUAGCAAACAAGAUCCCCCAUUUUAAGAUCACACAUGCACAUGCACCAAUCUCCCUCUCUCUCCCUCAUGCUCGGCCCUCUCCCCUCUCUCUUCUCUCCUUCUCUCUUCUCACUCUCCUACACCAUUAAUAGGAUGACAUCCUCAACAUUUAUCAUCCCAUUAAAUUCAAGAUAUGCAUUAAGUGAAGAAAUCACUCCAUCACAUCAUCUCAUCAAAGCUCAUCAAAGCAAGCUUCCCUCUCUCCUUUUUACUCCCUUCGGCAGCCCCCUCCCCUCCUCACUCCACCACACUUCUCUCCUUGUUUCACCAUUUUUGGAAAGGAUUAAGGAAGCCAAAAGUGCUACCCUCACACCAAGCUAUCAAGUGUACUUCAAUCUUCAAGAUCAAGCUCCAAGAGGCCUACACAUCAUUCUCUACUCCACCUCCAUUGAUCUUGUUGGCUUUGUGGACCAAGGGGAUUAGCACUGCUUUCCCAAGACAGGUUAUGUGAUUAUGAUCUUCAGGCUUUGCCUAUCCAGGUGGGCUUACUUUCCAAAUGUACAAAGUAUGAUUGAGUUAUUAAGCUCUAAAUGUUUCAAUGAAAUGCAAAUUGUUUAUUUAAUGUAAUGAAAACUGUUUAUCCAAUAAAAUGUUUAUGUGCACUCUGCUCUGUUUAAGGCUCGCAAUUCAUGGAUCGAUCGAGGUUCUCUUAUGGCCUAACACGUUAUUUGAGAAUUGUGUACACUUGUUAGUUGUUUCGGUGGGUUGAUCUCCAUCGGGCACUAAUUCAUGUAAGAGGCGUUAUAAGGGUGCUUGGCUGGAUGUGUUCCGGAGCAUGUAUCAUGUAAGGCCUGCCUGGGUAGCGUCCCGAGGUCAAUUCAACUUGUCUGAGUUACGUCCUCAGGGCAAGUGCAAUGUGAGAAAUGGAUCCGUCGGUGGCUAGAGGUCCGGGAUCACAGCGAGUAACAGAAAGGGAGUGUGACAUGUGCGCACAAAUGAAAAAUGUUUUAACAUGCUUAGAAGUUAUUUCAUUUUAAAACCUUCUAAGUCAUGUCAAGUAUAAUUGGAUAAACUGCUCUUACGAAAAUAUGAAAUGUUUAUGAAAAUGCAUGCCCACUAAGUACAUUAGUACUUAGCCCAAAAAUACUUUCAAAUGUUUUCAGGUUGGCUGGCUGGUGCUGACGGGACGGAGCUGAGGCUAGAGUUAAAAUUCAUAUGUUAGACUUCCGCUGUAGCAAUUACUCUUAUACAUCUUUUGUUUUCUCAACUUAAGAUCUUCAUGUUAAAUUUCAAAUGAUAUACCUGACCGAGCUUAGACUCUUCACUACUAAAUUUAUGCUAAUGAAUGUCGGUUGUCAGAAGCAUGAAACAAAACUUGUGAUCCAAAGGGGCAUAGCCCGACUCUCUAUCUUAUUAUUCGGGUUUUAACAAGGUUGUUCCUUGUUUAUUUCUA